CUAGCUUUAGGUCUGGGACAACCACUGGAAACGGUGGCUAAUACCGGAUGUGCCGAGAGGUGAAAGGCUUGCUGCCUGAAGAUGAGCUCGCGUCUGAUUAGCUAGUUGGUGGGGUAAGAGCCUACCAAGGCGACGAUCAGUAGCUGGUCUGAGAGGAUGAUCAGCCACACUGGGACUGAGACACGGCCCAGACUCCUACGGGAGGCAGCAGUGGGGAAUUUUCCGCAAUGGGCGAAAGCCUGACGGAGCAAUACCGCGUGAGGGAGGAAGGCUCUUGGGUUGUAAACCUCUUUUCUCAGGGAAGAAAAAAAUGACGGUACCUGAGGAAUAAGCAUCGGCUAACUCCGUGCCAGCAGCCGCGGUAAUACGGAGGAUGCAAGCGUUAUCCGGAAUGAUUGGGCGUAAAGCGUCCGCAG
rnacentral:rRNA from 1 species